AAAAAACCAUAUACAAGGUUGUGUUUUUGCUGUGUUUUUUUACUUAUGUUGUUGUUGUUGUGGAUCUGAGAAAUCUAUCUCUCUGACGCUCUAGAGAUAGGAGAGAGAGAUUAUAGAGAGAGAAAACAAAAACAUAGUGAGAGAGAGUGUGUGUGUUGUUUUGUUGAGUAUAUACAUAGCCACCAAAACCUAUGUUGUAAUAGAAAUCAAAAAUCUCCACCACCAUUGUUUCUUAGUAUACCCUUUGGUCUAAAUUUCAUUCUUGAGUGAAAAAGUUUCGAUUUUUCUGUGUGUUCUGAAAUGGGUUCUUGUGAAGCAACAAAUGUAGUUCUUGCUAAAGUCAAGAACUUUGACCCUGAAAAUGCUUCAAAAAUCAUGGGUUAUCUUCUGAUGAACCUUGAAGAAUAUGAAUUAGUACGUUUAGCAUGUUGUCCUGACCAUGUUAUUCAUAAUCUUGCUAUUAGGGUCAAGAGCCAUUUGGGUAUGGCAGUGUCAAACCCUUCUUCUCCUUCGCCUCUUAACCCAAUUGGUAGAAUCACUUCAACUUCUACAAACCCUUUUUCAAAAUCUUCUCCUAGAGCCGUUGCUAAUGGUUUUGACUUCACUAGAAACCCUGCUUCGCCUUCUUCCAAUGUUUGGCCACAACCCUCUUUUCAAAAGAAUCCAAUGAGUCCAAAGUUUAAUCCUUUACUCUCUUAUGAGAAUAUCCAAACUGGUGUUGGUGUUGGUGUGGGUGGUUCUGGUGGUGGUGGUGGUGGUGGUUCUUCUUUCUCACCAAGGGUUAAUAAUGGUGGUGAUUGUGAAUUUGUUGAUGAGCAACAACUGAAUGAGUAUUUUCCUUUUCUCAAUGAGUCAUCUAACGGUGACGAUGUGGUUGAUCCGCGUCUUGAAAUGAGUCUUGGCCCUCAAAAUUGGAUGUCUGGUAACAAUGUUGAUGCUCAGAAUAUCCAUAGGAGGAGUUUUUCUGCCAGUGAUGCUGGUUUUGGUGUGGAAGAGAGUGGAGUAGGAUUUGGUUUUAAGCCAUGUCUUUACUUUGCUAGAGGGUUUUGUAAAAAUGGUUCUAAUUGUAAGUUUGUUCAUGCUGAUUCAAUUGAUCUUAAUUCUGGUGCUGUUGUUGGUUCGCCCUCGAAGUUCGAGGGAUUGGAACAGCAUGAGGAGUUCAUGAGGUUCAAGGCUGCUCAGCAUCAAAGAUUGCUGGCUGCAUCACAACUUGCUGCUGGUGGAACAUCGCCGUCUUCGUACGACAAGUACAUUGAUUUUCUGAUGCAGCAGCAUAAUGAUAAUCAAAGAGCCGCGGCUGCGGCAGCUUUUAUGAUGGGUGAAGAAUAUUUCAACAUUAGUGGUCGGGGAAGGCCCGACAGGAAUGAGUUUCUCGCCAUGGUUGCUGGGGAUAAGCCAAACUCGGCAUCGCGGCAGAUUUAUUUAACCUUUCCUGCUGAAAGCACAUUCAAAGACGAAGAUGUUUCGGAGUAUUUCAGCAAAUAUGGACCUGUCCAAGAUGUGAGAAUUCCUUACCAGCAGAAGCGCAUGUUCGGGUUUGUUACCUUUGUCUUUCCGGAGACGGUGAGAAACAUAUUAUCGAAAGGGAAUCCUCAUUUUAUAUGCGAUUCACGCGUGCUUGUGAAACCCUACAAGGAGAAGGGUAAAGUUCCUGACAAGAGACAACAUCCACAACAACUAGAGAGAGGCGAUUUUUCGCCGUGUUUAAGUCCCUCUGGGUUUGAACCUAAAGAACCUUUUGAUUUCCAUCCUGGAGCGAGAAUGAUGUUUAAUCCGCAUGACAUCUUGUUGAGAAGGAAAAUAGAGGAGCAGGCUGAGUUGCAGCAAGUCCUUGAACUCCAAGAAAGGAGGCUGAAGAGUCUGCAGCUUCCAGACUUCAAGAAUAUUCCGAUCCACCACCAGCGCAGUGUCUCUGUCGGGGCUCCUUUUAUUUUUCCUCAUCAACUUCAUAGCCAUUUUAACCAUGCAGGUCUUUCUCCCGAUAACAUUCAAGGAGAUAUUACAGGCUACGGUGUCGGCUUCACUCCUACCGGUUCUUUCGGUGCCGCAUCUGAGCAGCACCCGCAGCAGCUUCAGAAAGAAGCUGAUCCAUCCCGCAUUGAUGCUGCUGCUGCUGAAAGUGGGAACAUAAUCAAUACUGCAAACUCAGAAGCCCUAGAUCUCGGCACUAGAAACGUUGAACAAACCCUUCCUGAGAGUUUCUUUGCUUCACCAACCAAAGCAGCUGGAGAUCAUCUGUCUGAUUUCUCUCCACUCGAAGACGUCAACGAGAAGCUAGACUCGACAACAACUGCUCCGGGCAACAACAAUGCUUCCCUUUAAUUUUCUUUACAAAUCAAGGUAAUAAAAAUAGAAGGGGCAAGCAAGGAAUCAUGUUAAUUAGGAAGUGCAGAUUUAUAGAAUGAAUCAUAUAUUAGAAGAAGAAGAAAAAAAAUCUUCUAGAUGUAUAGCUGAAUACACCUAGAUCAAGAGACUAGUUCGUUCGUUCCUUGAGCAAGAAUCAAAACCGAUGUCGUCGUCAUCAUCAUCAUCAAUCGUCAUCAUCAAUCAUGAAUCAAAUACAUACUACUAACAGCAACCAAGCAAUACACAUAUUGCAUACAUGGAUAGAGACAUAUUAGUUUAUAUAUUACUAUAAGACUAUAUAAGCCUAGUUUUCCUAUCAUCAUUUCCAUUUCAUUUCCAGACAGAAAAACAAAAAAAAAUUUGUUGUUUUUACCUUUCAUGUAAUAUAUAGACUAUGUGAUUAUGUUUUA